rnacentral:lncRNA from 1 species
GAGGGGGUGGCGUGUGAGUGCGUGGAGGGUAAAAGCCAGUCAGUCAGUGAGAAGCAAAGAUCAACCACCUCAGAAGAGCCAGAUUCCACUUCUGUGGCCAGGACUUUUAUAUUAUGGCUGGUCCGAUUGUUUUACCCUGCGUUCUAUGCUACUAAACCUUGGAUCAUUCCUAAAGUACAAAUUCUGUUCUCGAACCACAAACAAGGCUAAAAGAUCGGAGGAAAUUCAGUGAAUAUACAGGAUUGGGGUGUCUGAUGAUUUGUGAGCCUCAAGUGACUACUCUGUGGAAUCACCUGUCCUUGCCUUUGAAUUAGCUUUCCGUAGGCCAUGAGUCAACAUUAGUAGUUUAUACAUCCAAAUUGAUGACAAGAGCACCUCAAAGGCAGCAGCCUCAAGAAGCAGCCAUGGCCCCAGAGUUGUCCCACGGAUGCAGAAAACUUAAUGGAGGAGGCUGAGCAAAACAGAGCGUGACACU